CGCGAGCCCUGGGCGGCCGGCGCACGCGCGGUGCGGUGGCGGGCAAGAUGGCGGCGAGCAGGGCAGGUGUUUUCGCUGGACGGCGGCGGGCGAGGGCAGAGGCGGCCUGGAGUCGAGCAUGUGGGGGCCGCGGUGAGGCGAGGGUAGCCCACCGAAGGGGGACAUCUCAAAGAGAAGCAGCAAGACCUCGGGAUCCGGUGGUUCAUUUUGGUCGUCACCUGUGAGGCCAGCAUCCAAGAGUAAGAGGAAUCUAGGAGCAGUCUCAAAAAGAGAUGGAACCAAGGACAGCAAAUGCUGACCAAGAGAAGAGACGGACAAGCGUUUGCUUGUGGUUAAUACCGAAGGGACGGGAUGAAACAAGGAAGCCAGAAUGCAGCGGCCCCUCGAUAUCACCAGGAACUGCUACAGGAGGAGGCGUUCUGGCACGGGUAACUAAGCUCUCCGAGCUGAAUCCUAGCCCUGAAGGAAAAAGCACUGGGGGGAGGCUACUUGGACACCUGCCACGUCGAGGGCAGGGGCAGGAGCUGACCCUUCCCCGACGGACGGAUGGACGGACAGACACUGGUGCGGCGGUGACUCUUUGGAUAUCGCAGGUAAGGGGAGGCACGCUGGUGCUGAGCUCCAGGGCGGUUUGCCUGAACACGAUGUCCGGGGCAGGAGGUUACGCAUUGUGUCCGGGGCUGGGAGCUGGUCCCCGAGUCCCAUGUACUUGGGAGUGCCUGCGCUUGCCAGGGAGCCCGGUGCUGUUCCCAGAGCUGCGGGGAAUUUCCCUUGCGUUGCCUGGACCCUCGGGGCUCUUGGGGGUGUUUCCCCUCAUCGCGAGGGCAGCCAGAGCCCCUCCAGGGCUGCGUGAGGUCCCCGAACCGCUCCCGGAUUUGCUUUUGGCA